UCCUGAGCUGCUAUUUGUUUCGAAGCCAUUUGCUCUCUCUUUGUUGGCUGCUCACCUGAGUCUGCUUAUUGUUUUUGCUCACUAUAGAUGGUGCAGGCAUGAAGGAGGACUUUUUGCUUUCUUGCAGUAUAGGAUUGUUCAACUGAAGCAUAGAAUAGUAACUUUAUUUUCCUUAUCUCGUAAACCACUCUCCAGUCAGAACUUAACCCACAAACGUCUUCAACCUAAUCGUAAGUUUGCAUGCAAAAUCUUCUCAUAGAUGCGAAUUCUCUUCCACAUUCCUUUUAUUAGUUUCAUGAUUAACAUCUUCUGACAGAUUAUUUUUAUUUGCGGGGUUUCCCCUUUCUAAUGGGAUAUCAGAUAUUUUCA